GACAUUGAAACACCUGUUCCCGUACGACCAGUGGAGUUAAGCAGCGUCGAACCUGAUCAAUACCUAGACGGGUGACUGCCUGGAAAUUUCAGGUGCUGUAAG